UACAGAGGGUGCGAGCGUUGUCCGGAAUCACUGGGCGUAAAGGGCGCGUAGGUGGCGGGACAAGCGUGCGGUGAAAGCUCGGGGCUCAACCCUGAGUCGGCCGUGCGAACUGUUUUGCUUGAGCACUGUAGAGGCAGGCGGAAUUCCGGGUGUAGCGGUGGAAUGCGUAGAGAUCCGGAAGAACACCGGUGGCGAAGGCGGCCUGCUGGGCAGUGGCUGACACUGAGGCGCGACAGCGUGGGGAGCAAACAGG
rnacentral:rRNA from 1 species